UACGAAGGGGGCUAGCGUUGCUCGGAAUCACUGGGCGUAAAGGGGUGCGUAGGCGGGUCUUUUAAGUCAGGGGUGAAAUCCUGGAGCUCAACUCCAGAACUGCCUUUGAUACUGAAGAUCUUGAGUUCGGGAGAGGUGAGUGGAACUGCGAGUGUAGAGGUGAAAUUCGUAGAUAUUCGCAAGAACACCAGUGGCGAAGGCGGCUCACUGGCCCGAUACUGACGCUGAGGCACGAAAGCGUGGGGAGCAAACAGG
rnacentral:rRNA from 1 species